rnacentral:rRNA from 1 species
UAGAGAUAGCUGGUUAUUCAGGAAAAGGAUAUUAGUCCAACUUUAAACCUUAUAUGUACCAUCAAAUAUGACAAUAGGUUUAAAAUUUAUUCAAAUAAGGUUCAGCCUAUUUGAAACAGGAUACAACCUACCACAUAGGGUAAUGUUUAACUACAUGACCAAGUAGGCCUAAGAGCAGCCAUCUUUUAAAAAGCGUUAUAGCCUCAUCAUGCCCACAAUUAAUUCCAACCUUAACCCAAAACCCCUAACCCAUACUGAAUGACUCCAUAUUUAUAUGGAAAACCUUAUGUUAGAACUAGUAACAAGAACAACUUCUCCACCAAAUGUAUGUGUAAGCCGGACUGAACCAAUCACCGGCAUCUAUCGCCAAUGAACCUGCAGUAGCAACUAACACAAGAAAACUCUACUCUUCAAAGCGUUAACCUUACACUAGAGCUUUUCUGGAAAGAUUAAAAAAAGAGGAAGGAACUCGGCAAAUAUGAGCCCCGCCUGUUUACCAA